rnacentral:rRNA from 1 species
AGAGUUUGAUCCUGGCUCAGGAUGAACGCUAGCGGGAGGCCUAACACAUGCAAGCCGAGCGGUAUUGUUUCUUCGGAAACGAGAGAGCGGCGCACGGGUGCGGAACACGUGUGCAACCUGCCUUUAUCUGGGGGAUAGCCUUUCGAAAGGAAGAUUAAUACCCCAUAAUAUUUUGAAUGGCAUCAUUUAAAAUUGAAAACUCCGGUGGAUAGAGAUGGGCACGCGCAAGAUUAGAUAGUUGGUAGGGUAACGGCCUACCAAGUCAGUGAUCUUUAGGGGGCCUGAGAGGGUGAUCCCCCACACUGGUACUGAGACACGGACCAGACUCCUACGGGAGGCAGCAGUGAGGAAUAUUGGACAAUGGGUGAGAGCCUGAUCCAGCCAUCCCGCGUGAAGGACGACGGCCCUAUGGGUUGUAAACUUCUUUUGUACAGGGAUAAACCUAUUUACGUGUAAAUAGCUGAAGGUACUGUACGAAUAAGCACCGGCUAACUCCGUGCCAGCAGCCGCGGUAAUACGGAGGGUGCAAGCGUUAUCCGGAUUUAUUGGGUUUAAAGGGUCCGUAGGCGGAUCCGUAAGUCAGUGGUGAAAUCUCAUAGCUUAACUAUGAAACUGCCAUUGAUACUGCGGGUCUUGAGUAAGGUAGAAGUAGCUGGAAUAAGUAGUGUAGCGGUGAAAUGCAUAGAUAUUACUUAGAACACCAAUUGCGAAGGCAGGUUACUAUGUCUUAACUGACGCUGAUGGACGAAAGCGUGGGGAGCGAACAGGAUUAGAUACCCUGGUAGUCCACGCCGUAAACGAUGCUAACUCGUUUUUGGGCUUUCGGGUUCAGAGACUAAGCGAAAGUGAUAAGUUAGCCACCUGGGGAGUACGAACGCAAGUUUGAAACUCAAAGGAAUUGACGG